rnacentral:sRNA from 1 species
GUUACACUCCAGUCAUGGCGGCCCCAGGACAGGCCGUGGGCAGCGGGGCUCAGGAGACAUGCGGUCUGGAUCGGAUUUUGGAGGCAUUGAAGCUGCUGCUGAGCCCGGGAGGCUCAGGCUCAAGUUCACUACAGGUCACAAAACACGAUGUCUUGUUGGCUACUUUAAAAUCUAACCUGUCUGCUUUGGAGGACAAGUUUCUGAAGGAUCCUCAGUGGAAGAAUCUGAAACUCCUAAGAGAUGAAAUUGCUGAUAAGGCAGAAUGGCCACAAAACUCUGUGGAUGUCACUUGGAGUUUUACCUCUGAAACCUUGUUGUUGCUUUUGUGCUUGAAGGAAACCAUGAUCCGCCUUGCAGCUAAUUUCAAUCCAGGUAAACCCAACCCUAGGACCCCGGAAGUUGCUCCUGCUCUGAGCCCCGAUGCACUUAGUAUCUCACAACAGAAGACUGUCCAGUUCGUUUUGCAGUUUGUAGUUACCUUGGGUAUCUGCCCCUAUCUCAUGCCUGGCGUUGGAGUCCCUUUGAGAUAUAGAACUGAGUUUGGUGCCGUCGUUCAGGACGUGGUGUGUCUUGAUGCUGCGCCUGAUGCAACUCGAAGACUGUACACCAGCUGCAAGGCCCUUCUGAAUGUUGCUCAGCACACAUCUCUGGGGAGCUUGAUCUUCUGCCACCAUUUUGGGGAUAUCGCAGCAGGUCUGUGCCAACUGGGAUUCUGCCCAACCAAAAGAAAACUGCUAACACCUGCAGAAGAGGUUCUAACUGAAGAGGAGAGAACCCUAUCCAGGGGGGCCUUGAGAGACAUGUUGGAUCAAGUCUAUCAGCCCUUAGCAGUCCGGGAACUGCUUAUCCUCCAGGGAGGACCACCCCAGUCCUGCACAGAUGUGAAGACACAGAUGAGGUGUUGGGCCCCAGCUUGGCUUCGGCGUCUAUGUGGACAGCUGCUCUCUGAAAGGUUAAUGAGACCUAAUGGUGUUCAGGCAGUAGUCCGGGGCAUUUUGGAAGGAGCAGGUGGUAAGAAAUAAAAUGUUUCUGUGACUUUGGUAUCUGUUUUCCUUAGAGUCAGAGUCUGAGGUGAAUUAUUGGUCUUUAGUAUUUACCUUUAAAACCUGACUGAAACUAAACUCCGUCCUUGCAGGGAUUGAACAGGUUAAACUUAGAGGCCCUUAAUGAGCUUCUUUUCCAAAGAAACUAAUUCUCUUGCUCUUUUCCUAAAAUGCUUGUGAUACACUGCCUAUUUUAUUGAACAAUAUUUUAAGCUAUUUCAAAUAAUUUAUACUAUCUGGGGGAAAACAUUACACAGAAAGUUGAAGUAAAAACCCUAAAGUAAAUGUUAAAUAAAGCUAGGUGUGGGCUGGGCGCGGUGGCUCACGCCUGUAAUCCCAGCACUUUGGGAGGCCAAAGCCGGCGGAUCACUUGAAGUCAGGAGUUCAAGACCAGCCUGGCCAACAUGGUGAAUCCCCGUCUCUACUAAAAUACAAAAAUUAGCGUGGCGUGGUGGCAGGCACCUAACCCCAGCUACUUGGGAGGCUGAGGCAGGAGAAUCACUUGAAUUUUGGAGGUGGAGGUUGCAGUGAGCCAAGAUCGUGCCACUGCACCCCAGCCUAGGUGACAGAAUGAGACCUCGUCUCAAUAAUAAUAAUAAAGCCAGGUGUGGUGGCUCACACCUGUAAUCCCAGCACUUUGGGAGGCCGAGGCAGAAGGACUGUCUGAGGCCAGGAGUUCAAGACCAGCCUGGGCCACAUAGCAAGACUCUGUUUCU